rnacentral:rRNA from 1 species
CAGCCGCCGCGGUAAUACGUAGGGCGCAAGCGUUAUCCGGAAUUAUUGGGCGUAAAGAGCUCGUAGGCGGUUUGUCGCGUCUGCCGUGAAAGUCCGGGGCUUAACCCCGGAUCUGCGGUGGGUACGGGCAGACUAGAGUGAUGUAGGGGAGACUGGAAUUCCUGGUGUAGCGGUGAAAUGCGCAGAUAUCAGGAGGAACACCGAUGGCGAAGGCAGGUCUCUGGGCAUUAACUGACGCUGAGGAGCGAAAGCAUGGGGAGCGAACAGGAUUAGAUACCCGAGUAGUCCCUGUCUCUUAUAC